CACGAACUGUGCGAACGUUAUUCGGAAUUACUGGGCUUAAAGAGUUCGUAGGCGGCGCGUUAAGUCGGGUGUGAAAUCCCUCGGCUCAACCGAGGAAUUGCGCCCGAAACUGGCGUGCUUGAGGGAGAUAGGGGUGAGCGGAACUGAUGGUGGAGCGGUGAAAUGCGUUGAUAUCAUCAGGAACACCGGUGGCGAAAGCGGCUCACUGGGUCUCAACUGACGCUGAGGAACGAAAGCUAGGGUAGCGAACGGG
rnacentral:rRNA from 1 species